UCAUGGCGGAUGGUCCGGUGGCGGAACUGCUGCUUCGGCGGCUGGAGGCGUCUGAUGGCGGCCUGGACAGCGCCGAGUUGGCGGCUGAGCUGGGCAUGGAGCACCAGGCGGUGGUGGGCGCCGUGAAGAGCCUUCAGGCGCUGGGCGAGGUCAUCGAGGCUGAACUUCGGUCCACCAAGCGCUGGGAGCUUACUGCGGAGGGCGAGGAGAUUGCCCGGGAGGGCAGCCAUGAGGCCCGUGUGUUUCGAAGCAUUCCCCCAGAGGGCCUGGCCCAGAGCGAGCUUAUGCGACUGCCCAGUGGCAAAGUGGGCUUCAGCAAGGCCAUGUCCAACAAGUGGAUUCGGGUGGACAAGAGUGCGGCUGACGGGCCCCGGGUGUUCCGAGUGGUGGACAGCAUGGAGGAUGAGGUGCAGCGGCGGCUCCAGCUGGUCCGGGGGGGACAGGCUGAGAAGCUGGGGGAGAAGGAGAGGAGCGAGCUGAGGAAGAGGAAGCUGUUGGCUGAAGUGACCCUGAAGACCUACUGGGUGAGCAAAGGCAGUGCCUUUAGUACCAGCAUCUCCAAGCAAGAGACAGAGCUGAGCCCAGAGAUGAUCUCCAGUGGCUCUUGGCGGGACCGGCCCUUCAAGCCCUACAACUUCUUGGCCCACGGUGUCCUCCCCGACAGCGGCCACCUUCACCCGCUGCUCAAGGUCCGCUCCCAGUUCCGACAGAUCUUCCUGGAGAUGGGGUGAGCACAGGGCUGGGGGCGGUGCCUGGUGCUUCUGCUGGGUACAGGCAGGGCAGUCAGGCUGCGUCUCCCACCAGGUUCACCGAGAUGCCGACUGAUAACUUCAUUGAGAGCUCCUUCUGGAACUUUGACGCCCU
rnacentral:sRNA from 1 species